AACGAACGCUGGCGGCAGGCUUAACACAUGCAAGUCGAGCGCCCCGCAAGGGGAGCGGCAGACGGGUGAGUAACGCGUGGGAACGUACCCUUUGCUACGGAAUAGCUCCGGGAAACUGGAAUUAAUACCGUAUGUGCCCUACGGGGGAAAGAUUUAUCGGCAAAGGAUCGGCCCGCGUUGGAUUAGCUAGUUGGUGGGGUAAUGGCCUACCAAGGCGACGAUCCAUAGCUGGUCUGAGAGGAUGAUCAGCCACAUUGGGACUGAGACACGGCCCAAACUCCUACGGGAGGCAGCAGUGGGGAAUAUUGCGCAAUGGGCGAAAGCCUGACGCAGCCAUGCCGCGUGGACGAUGAAGGUCUUAGGAUUGUAAAAUCCUUUCACCGGUGAAGAUAAUGACCGUAGCCGGAGAAGAAGCCCCGGCUAACUUCGUGCCAGCCGCCGCAGUAACAC
rnacentral:rRNA from 1 species